rnacentral:rRNA from 1 species
AUACGAAGGGGGCAAGCGUUGUUCGGAAUAACUGGGCGUAAAGCGCACGUAGGCGGAAUGUUAAGUUAGAGGUGAAAUCCCAGGGCUCAACCCUGGAACUGCCUUGAAUACUGGCAAUCUAGAGACCGAGAGAGGUGAGUGGAAUUCCGAGUGUAGAGGUGAAAUUCGUAGAUAUUCGGAGGAACACCAGUGGCGAAGGCGGCUCACUGGCUCGGUACUGACGCUGAGGUGCGAAAGCGUGGGGAGCAAACAGGAUUAGAAACCCGAGUAGUCC